UACGGAGGGUGCAAGCGUUGUCCGGAUUUAUUGGGUUUAAAGGGUGCGUAGGCGGCCCUGUAAGUCAGUGGUGAAAUACUGCAGCUUAACUGUAGCAUUGCCAUUGAUACUGUAGGGCUUGAGUACAGAUGAGGUAGGCGGAAUUGAUGGUGUAGCGGUGAAAUGCAUAGAUACCAUCAAGAACACCGAUUGCGAAGGCAGCUUACUAAACUGUAACUGACGCUGAGGCACGAAAGCGUGGGGAUCGAACAGG
rnacentral:rRNA from 1 species